rnacentral:rRNA from 1 species
AUGAGGUCAAAGUCCGCGAGCGAAACUCAAAUUGGAGGUUUUCUUUAUUGGAACUAUGUUUAUUUUUAUUUGUUUUUCGGAAUUUGGUUGGGUGCUCUUUUACCUUGGAAAAUUAUAGUUGCCCUAUGGAGAGUAGCAGCGCCCACGAAUGAGAUAAAUACUAUUGUUGCUUUAGCUUUACUGAUGUCGAUGGCCUAUUUUUAUGCUGGUCUUAGCAAAAAAGAAUAGAGCUAUUUCAAGAAAUAUAUUAAACCAACUCCAAUCCUUUCACCAAUUAACAUCCUACUAGAAGAUUUCAGAAAACCAUUUUCGGUGAUGGGCAUGACUUUGUGCCCGUCACUGGUAAAUGGUCAGAUUACCGGUGGUGAGUGCCAAUGUCCUGUCCAACAUUAA